rnacentral:tRNA from 1 species
GCCUGUCUGGCUCAGUCAGUAGAGCAUGCAACUCUCAAUCUCAGGGUCGUGAGUUCAAGCCCCACGUUGGGCG